rfam:Plasmodium falciparum Vietnam Oak-Knoll (FVO) unplaced genomic scaffold supercont1.2, whole genome shotgun sequence.
AACCUGGUUGAUCUUGCCAGUAGUCAUAUGCUUGUCUCACAGAUUAAGCCAUGCAAGUGAAAGUACAUAUGUAAAUAAUAUAUUGAAACUGCGAACGGCUCAUUAAAACAGUUAUAAUCUACUUGAUGUUUUUAAUAUAAGGAUAACUACGGAAAAUCUGUAGCUAAUACUUGUGAAAAUACCUUUUGAUAUAUACAUAUAUAUAUAUAUGUAUGUAUCAUUAAGGUAUGUAUUUGUUAGAUAUAAGAAUAAAAUAAAUAUAAUUGAAUUAUAACAAAGAAGAAACACAUAAAAUAUGUGUAUUAUCAAUCGAGUAUCUGACCUAUCAGCUUUUGAUGUUAGGGUAUUGACCUAACAUGGCUAUGACGGGUAACGGGGAAUUAGAGUUCGAUUCCGGAGAGGGAGCCUGAGAAAUAGCUACCACAUCUAAGGAAGGCAGCAGGCGCGUAAAUUACCCAAUUCUAAAAAAGAGAGGUAGUGACAAGAAAUAACAAUACAAUAUCGAAAAAUGAUUUUGUAAUUGGAAUGAUAGGAAUUUACAAGGUUCCUAGAGAAACAAUUGGAGGGCAAGUCUGGUGCCAGCAGCCGCGGUAAUUCCAGCUCCAAUAGCAUAUAUUAAAAUUGUUGCAGUUAAAACGUUCGUAGUUGAAUAUUAAAGAAUCCGAUGUUUCAUUUAAACUGGUUUGGGAAAACCAAAUAUAUUAUAUAUUUUGCUUUGUUCAAAAUAAGGUUUUCUAAUAAAUUAUGUUUUUAUCAGAUAUGACAGAAUCUUUUUUAAAAUCUCUUCAAUAUGCUUUUAUUGCUUUUGAGAGGUUUUGUUACUUUGAGUAAAAUUAAGUGUUCAUAACAGACGGGUAGUCAUGAUUGAGUUCAUUGUGUUUGAAUACUACAGCAUGGAAUAACAAAUAUGAAUAAGCUAAUUAUUUUUUUUUUUCAUUAUUUUUUUUGAUAUUCUUAUUAGCUUAGUUACGAUUAAUAGGAGUAGCUUUGGGGGCAUUCGUAUUCAGAUGUCAGAGGUGAAAUUCUAAGAUUUUCUGGAGACGGACUACUGCGAAAGCAUUUGCCUAAUCUAUUUCCAUUAAUCAAGAACGAAAGUUAAGGGAGUGAAGACGAUCAGAUACCGUCGUAAUCUUAACCAUAAACUAUACCGACUAGGUGUUGGAUGAAUAUAAAAAAUAUAUAAAUAUGUAGCAUUUCUUAGGGAAUGUUGAUUUUAUAUUAGAAUUGCUUCCUUCAGUACCUUAUGAGAAAUCAAAGUCUUUGGGUUCUGGGGCGAGUAUUCGCGCAAGCGAGAAAGUUAAAAGAAUUGACGGAAGGGCACCACCAGGCGUGGAGCUUGCGGCUUAAUUUGACUCAACACGGGAAAACUCACUAGUUUAAGACAAGAGUAGGAUUGACAGAUUAAUAGCUCUUUCUUGAUUUCUUGGAUGGUGAUGCAUGGCCGUUUUUAGUUCGUGAAUAUGAUUUGUCUGGUUAAUUCCGAUAACGAACGAGAUCUUAACCUGCUAAUUAGCGGUAAGUACACUAUAUUUUUAUUUGAAAUUGAAUAUAGGUAAUUAUACAUGUUUAUUCAGUGUUCAAAUUAGGAUAUUUUUUUAUUAAAAUAUUCUUUUCCCUGUUCUACUAUAAUAAUUUGUUUUUUUUUACUCUAUUUCUCUCUUCUUUUAAGAAUGUACUUGUUUGAUUAAAUAAAGCUUCUUAGAGGAACAGUGUGUAUCUAACACAAGGAAGUUUAAGGCAACAACAGGUCUGUGAUGUCCUUAGAUAAACUAGGCUGCACGCGUGCUACAAUGAUAUAUAUAACAAGUUGUUAAAAAUGUACUUAUAAAUAAGUGUGUACAAUUUUUCCUGUACUGAAAAGUAUAGGUAAUCUUUAUCAGUAUAUAUCGUAAUUGGGAUAGAUUAUUGCAAUUAUUAAUCUUGAACGAGGAAUGCCUAGUAAGCAUGAUUCAUUAGAUUGUGCUGACUACGUCCCUGCCCUUUGUACACACCGCCCGUCGCUCCUACCGAUUGAAAGAUAUGAUAAAUUGUUUGGAUAUGAAUUAAAAUAAUGAAAUUUUAUAUUUCUGAUUUUUUCUAGAAGAACUGUAAAUCCUAUCUUUUAAAGGAAGGAGAAGUCGUAACAAGGUUUCCGUAGGUGAACCUGCGGAAGGAUCAUUA